GACGAACGCGGGCGGCGUGCCUAAUACAUGCAAGUAGAACGCUGAAGGAGGAGCUUGCUCUUCUGGAUGAGUUGCGAACGGGUGAGUAACGCGUAGGUAACCUGCCUGGUAGCGGGGGAUAACUAUUGGAAACGAUAGCUAAUACCGCAUAAGAGUAGAUGUUGCAUGACAUUUGCUUAAAAGGUGCAAUUGCAUCACUACCAGAUGGACCUGCGUUGUAUUAGCUAGUUGGUGAGGUAACGGCUCACCAAGGCAACGAUACAUAGCCGACCUGAGAGGGUGAUCGGCCACACUGGGACUGAGACACGGCCCAGACUCCUACGGGAGGCAGCAGUAGGGAAUCUUCGGCAAUGGACGGAAGUCUGACCGAGCAACGCCGCGUGAGUGAAGAAGGUUUUCGGAUCGUAAAGCUCUGUUGUAAGAGAAGAACGAGUGUGAGAGUGGAAAGUUCACACUGUGACG
rnacentral:rRNA from 1 species